GUUAGGCUCAGCCUCUUCCUGUCUCCCUAGCUCAGUAGCAGAGGGACAGCAGUGUCCAGGCAGCUGAGCUCAAGCUUGUCUCCUUCACCUCUCUGGCCUGCACUCCUUGCACACUAGGACAUGUGUAGAUUUAAAGAGAGUAAAGCCCUGAGAAGUCGGUCUCCUUUGCCAAACCUCACCGCUGGUUAGAACCAUGUCUCUCUCUAUGUGGGUCACUCAGGGGAGGCAGGAGCACCCCCAGACUUGCUGUCUCAGGAGAAAUGACAUGCCUGCAGCCCCAGAAGUGAAGUGGCAAGAGGCCAGAAAGUGCUGAAGGAGCUGAAGUUCCACCAGUGGCUUAUUUAAGUAAUUUCCCAUACCCACAAUCUUUUGAGAGUUGAAGUACAUCUGUUGUAUGCUUUUGACGUCAGCUGUAUGCUAAUUAUGUUCAUGUCCCAUAAUUCCUUUUGCUUACAGUCAAUAAAACAGU